rnacentral:lncRNA from 1 species
GAAAACAUAGAGCAUUUGGUACUAUCCAAGGUUUUAGAUGUUUAUUGGGGGUCUUGGAACAUAUCGUGUUCCCCCCAUGGUAAGGGGGGAAUACUUGGAUGACAGAAAUAAUAAUGUGAGAACCCAUACCCUUAUUGAAUGACUGCUAAGGGCAGUCCCUACACUAAGUAUUUGCUAUGCAUUACAUAAUUUUUCACAUGGCCACCAUGUUAUUAGAAACAGUUAUUAUUUCCAUGUAAGAACAAGGGACUUGAGGUUCUGAAUAAUGAGUUGCCCAAACUUACAAAGUCAGUGACAGAGCUGGAGACUUGAACCCAGGCCUCUCUGACUUGGGGUGGGGGUUCUUCCUCUGUGAAAAUGUGCUACUUCUAGGGGUUGAUGUUGUGCACAUGUGGACUUGUCAUGCCCACAAAUUCACGUGUGAUUCCAAAGGACCCUUUGUCAGACCCUGUACUUUGGUAUCUGGAAUUCUGUCCCUCUGCACUCACCUUACAUGCCCUGUGGUCAGGACAGGACAGCAGCUGCACAACCAUGCUGACCUUGUCCUGCCCUGAUCCUGGUGUGUUGUGAUUUCAGUGUCUGGGUCUGUCUCUGGGAAUACACUGAGGGCACAGUCUAGGUCUGAGUCAUCUCUGCAUCUUCAAAAUAUCACCCAACAUAGGUGUGGCUCAGAGCAGGGUCUCAGGAAAAUGAUAAGUGAAUGAAUAGGGGGAUGGGUUGUGCUGGGACUUUGAUGAAGUCCCUGGGAUAAGAGAACAUCAUUCCCAUAACUUCCUGAAACGU